rnacentral:rRNA from 1 species
AGCAGCCGCGGUAAUUCCAGCUCCAAUAGCGUAUAUUAAAGUUGUUGCAGUUAAAAAGCUCGUAGUUGAAUUUCGGGAUCAAUGUUUCGGUCAUGCCGUUGGUAUGUACUGAUAUUAUUGAUUUCUCACCUUCUAAAGAACCGUAAUGCCAUUAAUUUGGUGUCACGGGGAAUUAGGACUGUUACCUUGAAAAAUUAGAGUGUUUAAAGCAGGCUCACGCUUGAAUACAUUAGCAUGGAAUAAUGAAAUAGGACAUCCGAUUCUAUUUUGUUGGUUUCUAGGAUCGAUGUAAUGAUUAAUAGGGAUAGUUGGGGGCAUUAGUAUUCAAUUGUCAGAGGUGAAAUUCUUGGAUUUAUUGAAGACUAACUACUGCGAAAGCAUUUGCCAAGGAUGUUUUCAUUAAUCAAGAACGAAAGUUAGGGGAUCGAAGACGAUCAGAUACCGUCGUAGUCUUAACCAUAAACUAUGCCGACUAGGGAUCGGAUGAUGUUAAUUUUUAAUGACUCAUUCGGCGUACCCG